rnacentral:rRNA from 1 species
GACGAACGCUGGCGGCGUGCUUAACACAUGCAAGUCGAACGGAAAGGCCCUGCUUUUGUGGGGUGCUCGAUUGGCGAACGGGUGAGUAACACGUGAGUAACCUGCCCUUGACUUUGGGAUAACUUCAGGAAACUGGGGCUAUUACCGGAUAGGAUCUCCUGCUGCACGUUGGUGGUUGGAAAGUUUCGGCGGUUGGGGAUGGACUAGCUGCUUAUCAGCUUGUUGGUGGGGUAGUGGCUUACCAAGGUUUUGACGGGUAGCCCGCCUGAGAGGGUGACCGGAGACCAUGGGACUGCGAUACGGCCCAGACUGCUACGGGAGGCAGGAGUGGGGAAUAUUGCACAAUGGGAGGAAGCCUGAUGCAACAACGCCGCGUGCGGGAUGACGGCCUACGGGUUGUGAACCGAUUUCGACUGUGACGAAGCGUUAGUGACGGUAAUGGGUAAAGAAGCACCGGCUAACUACGUG